rnacentral:rRNA from 1 species
CCUACGGGUGGCAGCAGUGAGGAAUAUUGGUCAAUGGACGAGAGUCUGAACCAGCCAAGUAGCGUGAAGGAUGACUGCCCUAUGGGUUGUAAACUUCUUUUAUAUGGGAAUAAAACGUUCCACGUGUGGGAUUUUGUAUGUACCAUAUGAAUAAGGAUCGGCUAACCCCGUGCCAGCAGCCGCGGUAAUACGGAGGAUCCGAGCGUUAUCCGGAUUUAUUGGGUUUAAAGGGAGCGUAGGUGGAUUGUUAAGUCAGUUGUGAAAGUUUGCGGCUCAACCGUAAAAUUGCAGUUGAAGCUGGCAGUCUUGAGUACAGUAGAGGUGGGCGGAAUUCGUGGUGUAGCGGUGAAAUGCUUAGAUAUCACGAAGAACUCCGAUUGCGAAGGCAGUUCACUGGACUGCAACUGACACUGAGGCUCGAAAGUGUGGGUAUCAAACAGGAUUAGAUACCCGAGUAGUC